CAGCAGCCGCGGUAAUACGUAGGUGACAAGCGUUGUCCGGAUUUACUGGGCGUAAAGAGCGCGCAGGCGGUCGUUCAAGUCGAGUGUGAAAGCCCCCGGCUCAACUGGGGAGGGUCAUUCGAUACUGAUCGACUCGAAGGCAGGAGAGGGAAGCGGAAUUCCCGGUGUAGUGGUGAAAUGCGUAGAUAUCGGGAGGAACACCAGUGGCGAAGGCGGCUUCCUGGCCUGUUCUUGACGCUGAGGCGCGAAAGCUAGGGGAGCAAACGGGAUUAGAUACCCCGGUAGUCCUAGCCGUAAACGCUGAGUACUGGACCGGAGCUCUGCACAGGGUUUCGGUCGUAGCGAAAGUGUUAAGUACUCCGCCUGGGGAGUAUGGUCGCAAGGCUGAAACUUAAAGGAAUUGACGG
rnacentral:rRNA from 1 species